CUCAAAAGGAAGAUAAUAUAGCUACAUGUAGACAAGACUGCGUGCAAUCCUCUAUAAAAGCAUCCAGUUGACCCCACAUUUCUGAUUGGUCAAAGUAAUGUUUUAUUUAUUCUCUUCUCUUAUUGGGCUUCAGCAGUGGAGGCCACAGCUCUACCGCAGCUGAAGCAUCUGGCCCUUCAG
rnacentral:lncRNA from 1 species